rnacentral:lncRNA from 1 species
UCAUGUCAAGGUUGCUUGGAUUUUAACUUUUGAUGAUAAGAAAGAAUGUUGUUCCAAUCAACAUUAAUGUGAUGAUUAUUGUCUUGAAAUCAAUAAUUUCACUGUUAGGAGAUGAAGAAGACAAAGCAUAUAAUUUCUCAGCAGAGAAGAUUCUAAAGUGAAAGUUGUUUACUUCUUCCACCACUUCAUUCCUUUUUCUCUAUAUUUUGUCAACAUGUGGGGGAAAUAAAGAAGACAAUUUGUGCAAAUCAAGAAGCAAUGCCAAGAGGUUUUUUUGAGUAUAGAAUUAAUUUAGAUUAGUUUCCUGAAUGUUCUUUUCGGUUAUAGGAGGAUUGUUUUUUUUUUUUUUUUUUUUUUUUUUCCCACUGCUAUAUCUUUUGUAAAACUUACCUGUCUUAACGGGUUCUCUCUGUCAUGUUAUUU